rnacentral:rRNA from 1 species
UACGAAGGGGGCUAGCGUUGUUCGGAUUUACUGGGCGUAAAGCGCAUGUAGGCGGAUUGUUAAGUCAGGGGUGAAAUCCUGGAGCUCAACUCCAGAACUGCCUUUGAUACUGGCAAUCUUGAGUCCGGAAGAGGUGAGUGGAACUCCUAGCGUAGAGGUGGAAUUCGUAGAUAUUAGGAAGAACACCAGUGGCGAAGGGCGGCUCACUGGUCCGGUACUGACGCUGAGGUGCGAAAGCGUGGGGAGCAAACAGGG